rnacentral:lncRNA from 1 species
UGGCCGGCCAGCCCUUUGCGGGGCAGGGCGGGGUAGGGAGGCGGGUGGGGCAGCCCUGGCUUCUGUGCCUGGGCCAGGCGGGGGCCUUCUCUGCAUCUGGUUGGGCUGCCUGUCCUGGCCUGCAGGCGGCGCUGACCUCCAGAAAACCCCAGCUCCAAACACAGCCUCGAGGGACACAGUCCACAGCAAAUGGCGCGCUGAGCGCGGUGAAAGCCAGUGGCGGCAGCUGAGGGGAUUCGGACACACACAGAGCCCCACACGGCAACGAGAACACAGCACAGACGCCAGUCCAGACCCACUCACAGCCGUGCUGGCCCAGCGACCGAACGCUCGACGCAGAGGCGCAGAUCACGAGUACGACCCAACCACGCGUGUCCACGGAACACACUCUCUAGGUCCAGAGACGCAAAUGGGUGAAAGCAAAGGACAAAAAGAUGCCUCCUGCACACCGCACCCGAUCCGGAAUUCCACGAGGAAAAUUCCACUGUCAGAUAACUCAUUCCUCAGGCUCCAGUUCAUGAAACAAGCACGAGGCUCAUACGCCGAAAAUGGCAGUUCUUCAGGUCACUUGGGGACCAGUAAGUAGUCAGGUCUCAUUGAGGGGAAUCCCUCAAACCAUGAGCUCCUACAAAACCCACAGGGAGAACCUGGUCAGCGGAUCUAGGGUUCACGUGGAAAUGCACCGCGCUCGGCGCUCAGUCGCCAAGCCGUUAUCUUGGAAAGUCCUGUGACAAACAAUAUUCCAUGCUAGAACUAAGAAGAUUCUUUCAAAGCCUGAAAGGCAGAGGACUCAGGCACCAACAGAAAUGUUGAUUAGGAUGCUGUAUUUCUUUGCUUUCAGUGAGAGGCCAGUCUUAGUAAAAUACACACUCUUCAGCCCACUCUAAGGAUGGACCCAGCCGGGCCUUACUUCCCACUCUUGCAGUGACCCUGUUGCUUGGAGAAAUGAUGGUUAAGCAGCAGAGGCACCAGCUCUUCUAAACAUGGUGCCUAGAAGCCCUCUGCAGAAGCCAGCAAGGAUCCGUACAGGCUGGGAAGGAUCACACAUCCCACAGAGAAGCCAAGGUGGAGACGCUCUGAACCAUCUUACUGUCUCUUCACUUUCAAGAACACGAGCCACCUGGCUACUUUCCUUUAUAGCCAAAUAAGCACACACUUCUUAGGUCAAAUAAGCCAACAUACUCUCAUUUAGCAAAGUGUUUUAUUCAAAAGCUUCUCAGCACCAUCUAGUUGUCAGAAAGAAUGGAUGAUACCCCCUUUUUGUGCCCCACCCAACUCCCAAUUCCAGAGGCCGGAGUUAAACCAUUUGGCGAGAGCUCCCUCUAAUGAUUAUAAUUCAGAUCAUGGUAAGUUUUUGGUUGUUCUCUCACCCACUUUCUCUAACCCUCUACUUAACCACGACUCAAGUAGAGCCGUGUUCUCCACAGUUCAGAACAACUGGAAGGAAUCAUGUCGAUUUUGAUCAACCUCCCAUUCCUGGGCUAGUCAAGGCACACAGAAUUACCCUGACAAACAGACUUCAGUGAUGCCGCCUCGGAGGGACAGCGACACCGUCAGGAAGCAUGCAGUUUCGAGAGCUUGAAUAUCAGGGCACCUUCCCCCGACUCGACUCUAGGAGCAAGGCCCUCUCCAGACAGAUGUCCAGCAGGUUGCAAGUGGUGCCGACAUUCUGGGCCAGUACGAACUGAGGGUCAGAAUUCAGUUUCUGAAGCAGAGCCGCUACCUUCUCCGAAUUCAGUCCUGCUGGAAUACCCGCUCCGUUCAGGGCGCCCAUGCUGCCCGGCAGGGGGACGGUAGUUUUGGAGUCCUCAGGCUGGUGCCGGGACGGCACAGCACCUCGCAGACUGGGCGGUCCGACCUGCCUCUUGCACCCGGAGCACCAGCCAAGGAACAUCUUUUAAUGUCACGGUUAUAUCUACCACCUGCGGUGAUUUUCAAGCCCAACAAAAUAAAAUCUGCCACUGUUUCCACUGUCUCCCCAUCUAUUUGCCACGAAAUCAUGGGACCAGACGCCAUGGGCUUUGGUUUUGAAUGUUGAGACAGGUUUUCACUCUCCUUGCUCACCCUCAUUAGUAGGCUCUUUAGUUCCUCUUCACUUUCUGCCGUUCAGGUCAGGUCAGUUCAGGCGCUCAGGCGUGUCCGACGCUUUGCAACCCCACGAACCGUACCAUGCCAGGCCUCCCUGUCCAUCACCAACUCCCAGAGUCUACCCAAACCCAUGUCCAUUGAGUUGGUGAUGCCAUCCAACCAUCUCAUCCUCUGUCGUCCCCUUCUCCUCCUGCCUCCAAUCUUUCCCAGCAUCAGGGUCUUUUACAAUGAGUCAACUCUUCGCGUGAGGUGGCCAAAGUAUUGGAGUUUCACCUUCAGCAUCAGUCCUUCCAAUCAACACCCAGGACUGAUCUCCUUUAGGAAGGACUGGUUGGAUCUCCUUGCAGUCCAAGGGACUCUCAAGAGUCUUCUCCAACACCACAGUUCACAAGCAUCAAUUCUUCGGC